rnacentral:other from 1 species
GCUUUUCUGCUGUGUACGUGGGUUCGGUCUGUUUUGAACCAACACAUUAACAUUGGGAGCCGGGUCCACCGCGGCGUACAUGCCCGCUUUUAUUACGGGACAUAUAAAACGGUGGCAUGGUGCCCGCCCUGCUAAGCGGGUUUCAAAAACGGAAAGGGCUCACGGCAUGGUGGAUAAUAU